UAUUGUAUGGUUUUGUCUUUUUGAGGUUACUGAUGCGUGUGGGGGCGAAUAUUUUCAGGGUACUGCUGCAAAUGAAUCGACAGCUACCAAGAUGUCAAGAAGAAAAAAGACAUUUGCUGAGCUCAAGGAGCAGGAGAGUUCUCUGUUGAAGGAAAGGAUACACUUGAAAAAGGAGAUAGCAACACUUCGUGCAACUUUUAAGGAACAGAGGGCCAAAAAUGAGAGCUUCAAAAGAAUGAAG